rnacentral:rRNA from 1 species
GACGAACGCUGGCGGCGUGCUUAACACAUGCAAGUCGAACGGAAAGGCCCCCUUGUGGGGUACUCGAGUGGCGAACGGGUGAGUAACACGUGAGUAACCUACCCUUGACUUUGGGAUAACUUCAGGAAACUGGGGCUAACACCGGAUAGGAGCUCCUGCUGCAUGGUGGGGGUUGGAAAGUUUCGGCGGUUGGGGAUGGACUCGCGGCUUAUCAGCUUGUUGGUGGGGUAGUGGCUCACCAAGGCUUUGACGGGUAGCCGGCCUGAGAGGGUGACCGGCCACAUUGGGACUGAGAUACGGCCCAGACUCCUACGGGAGGCAGCAGUGGGGAAUAUUGCACAAUGGGCGGAAGCCUGAUGCAGCAACGCCGCGUGCGGGAUGACGGCCUUCGGGUUGUAAACCGCUUUCGCCUGUGACGAAGCGUGAGUGACGGUAAUGGGUAAAGAAGCACCGGCUAACUACGUG